rnacentral:rRNA from 1 species
GUCUGGGAAACUGCCUGAUGGAGGGGGAUAACUACUGGAAACGGUAGCUAAUACCGCAUAAUGUCGCAAGACCAAAGAGGGGGACCUUCGGGCCUCUUGCCAUCGGAUGUGCCCAGAUGGGAUUAGCUUGUUGGUGGGGUAACGGCUCACCAAGGCGACGAUCCCUAGCUGGUCUGAGAGGAUGACCAGCCACACUGGAACUGAGACACGGUCCAGACUCCUACGGGAGGCAGCAGUGGGGAAUAUUGCACAAUGGGCGCAAGCCUGAUGCAGCCAUGCCGCGUGUAUGAAGAAGGCCUUCGGGUUGUAAAGUACUUUCAGCGGGGAGGAAGGGAGUAAAGUUAAUACCUUUGCUCAUUGACGUUACCCGCAGAAGAAGCACCGGCUAACUCCGUGCCAGCAGCCGCGGUAAUACGGAGGGUGCAAGCGUUAAUCGGAAUUACUGGGCGUAAAGCGCACGCAGGCGGUUUGUUAAGUCAGAUGUGAAAUCCCCGGGCUCAACCUGGGAACUGCAUCUGAUACUGGCAAGCUUGAGUCUCGUAGAGGGGGGUAGAAUUCCAGGUGUAGCGGUGAAAUGCGUAGAGAUCUGGAGGAAUACCGGUGGCGAAGGCGGCCCCCUGGACGAAGACUGACGCUCAGGUGCGAAAGCGUGGGGAGCAAACAGGAUUAGAUACCCUGGUAGUCCACGCCGUAAACGAUGUCGACUUGGAGGUUGUGCCCUUGAGGCGUGGCUUCCGGAGCUAACGCGUUAAGUCGACCGCCUGGGGAGUACGGCCGCAAGGUUAAAACUCAAAUGAAUUGACGGGGGCCCGCACAAGCGGUGGAGCAUGUGGUUUAAUUCGAUGCAACGCGAAGAACCUUACCUGGUCUUGACAUCCACGGAAGUUUUCAGAGAUGAGAAUGUGCCUUCGGGAACCGUGAGACAGGUGCUGCAUGGCUGUCGUCAGCUCGUGUUGUGAAAUGUUGGGUUAAGUCCCGCAACGAGCGCAACCCUUAUCCUUUGUUGCCAGCGGUCCGGCCGGGAACUCAAAGGAGACUGCCAGUGAUAAACUGGAGGAAGGUGGGGAUGACGUCAAGUCAUCAUGGCCCUUACGACCAGGGCUACACACGUGCUACAAUGGCGCAUACAAAGAGAAGCGACCUCGCGAGAGCAAGCGGACCUCAUAAAGUGCGUCGUAGUCCGGAUUGGAGUCUGCAACUCGACUCCAUGAAGUCGGAAUCGCUAGUAAUCGUGGAUCAGAAUGCCACGGUGAAUACGUUCCCGGGCCUUGUACACACCGCCCGUCACACCAUGGGAGUGGGUUGCAAAAGAAGUAGGUAGCUUAACCUUCGGGAGGGCGCUUACCACUUUGUGAUUCAUGACUGGGGUGAAGUCGUAACAAGGUAACCGUAGGGGAACCUGCGGUUGGAUCACCUCCUUACCUUAAAGAAGC